ACUACUAAGCCUUUUUAACUACCAGGCCUGCUAGCUGUAAACUGCUUGAAAGCAAAGUCACUGUUCAUUCUGUUCGCGUUUUCCCCAUGCAUAGCAUAGAAAAAGUAAAUGUUAGUUGACCAACUCUGUAACCUUCAAAAUGUAUCAAGAGUCCCUCUGAUGCAAAGACCAGAAAAUGGAGUAACUGGUGAUUUCUUAGGACUGGAAAGUGCAGGGAGGUCUCCAACACCUAGCACAGGAUUGGACACAAAGCAGGUGUUCAAGAGAUAUCUACUGAAAAUGCAAGUUACUACAGCGUGAGAAGGUAGGAGCCAUUUAGGAAAGAAGUCUUGACUCUAUCAUCCUGACCAGACCUGAAGCACCAGUCUCAGAAACUGCAUCCUGCCAGCCCCCAUCCAGUGCAGCUGAGAAAACUGAGUCUCACACAAUACAAGUGACUUACCUAAGGUCACAAGCCUGUAAAUGUAACACUGGAACCGCAUCUGCUGAAUGCAGAGUCCUGCUGUUUCCCACCUUUCUGUACUACCUGGCAGAUUCUCAAUAUGAGCCCCAAGCUAGGCUGGUUCCUGCACCCACCUAUGGAGCCAGGUGGGAAUUCCCAACUCCCUGCUCCCUGCUUACAAGCCUGCCUACCUAUUGUCUCUUUCCUGCUCCACUGGUCAUCUUCCCACCCACCACUGGCCCACCUGGUCCACGAAGCUGAUGGCAUCCCGGAUGUUGAGUCUGUAGUACACAUCCCAGAUUUGGUCCCGGAUACGAUAGGCUGACC